AAGUCGUAACAAGGUUUCCGUAGGUGAACCUGCGGAAGGAUCAUUAACACGUAUCCAAACGUUAAACCCCCCCGUGAACCUUCAGUGUACUCGUACGUCCGUUAGAAAAAGCAGCAAUCCCUGGUAAAUCAUCGCCGAACAGUUUUCGAUUCAGGGACGUCUGCAAGGAGCGUGCAUGUUGUGCGAAGCAAGUGGCCUGGCAUCCCCAAGCAGUUAGUGUCUGAAAGUGUCAUUAACUGUGUAAGGAUGACGCAGUCACGAUCGUUGGAGGCCCACACGGCCGACGACCGGGUCCCUGGGCGCAAGCCCCCCUAUAACAAACGCUGCCAAUCGCGGCCGCGAUAAUACGCAGUCGACAAAAAACCGAACAACUGUUAACAAUGGAUAUCUUGGUUCUC
rnacentral:misc_RNA from 1 species